rnacentral:rRNA from 1 species
UACGUAGGUGGCAAGCGUUGUUCGGAAUUAUUGGGCGUAAAGCGCGCGCAGGCGGUUCUUUAAGUCCGAUGUGAAAGCCCACGGCUCAACCGUGGAGGGUCAUUGGAAACUGGGGAACUUGAGUACAGAAGAGGAAAGCGGAAUUCCACGUGUAGCGGUGAAAUGCGUAGAGAUGUGGAGGAACACCAGUGGCGAAGGCGGCUUUCUGGUCUGUAACUGACGCUGAGGCGCGAAAGCGUGGGGAGCAAACAGG